UCACUGAUUACUGAUAAGGACUGCUGUAUUAAAAGAUAGAUUAUGUUCUGUAAAUUGUGUAACUGUAAAAGAAGUACCUUCCCUUUUCUUUUGUUACUAACUGGGAUUGUCUUAUAGUGGGGUUUUUGUCAAGCUUUUAUGUCUUGAAAACUUAUUGGCUCCAUAUAUGUUUUUGGGUUCUUUGAACUUGUGCUAUGAGUUAAAAGUCUAGCGUUUGGAAGGUACCAAUAAUGGCUAAACGAUUGAAUUUGGGGUAUUUCUGAAUAAGAAAAGUGGUGCCAACCAUUCACCAUGCCUUUGUCUGAACUAGUAUAUCGAUUGGCUAAAGGAAAGUUUGAUUCUUCUCAGGAGAAGAAUCCCACUUACUUAACUGAUCUUUCUUCUGCACCUGAGAAUGAUUUUCUUGAGCUAGUAUGGGAAAAUGGUCAAGUUCAGUCCAGUAAAGGUAGAAAGAACCAAAUUUCUAACGGCUUACUAUCUCAAACCUCAAAGAUUAGAGAUAAAGAUAUAGGUAAUGGCAGCAACAAUAAAAUGGGACGAUUUGGGUCCAUGGGUUCUGUACUAGGUGAAGUUCCGAUGUCUAUGCCGUCUGUUGAAUUGGGUUCGAAUCAAGAUGAUGACAUGGUACCAUGGUUGAAUUAUCCGAUUGAUGAUCCUCUGCAACACGAUUAUUGUUCUGAGUUUUUGACUGAAUUAUCUGGAGUUACUGUAAAUGAAAACUGUCAGAAUCAUUACCCAUCGUUGGAUAAGAGAAAUAGUGGUAACCAAUCGAUAAGGGACUCUCCUACUGUUUCUGUACAUAAUGUUUCAAGUAUAGAGCAAGCUCACAUGCCAAAAGUUUCUUCAACAGAGCAUGCUGAUGCUGCUAGUGCUGGGCCUAGAACUAGUUCUAGUCACUUGUAUCCAUCACCGUCGCAGCAAUGCCAAACAUCGUUCCCAUAUUUUAGAUCCAGAUUUUCAGUUAAUAAUGGUGAGAAUAUAAACAAUCUAACUCGUCAUCCAGCUUCUGGGAAUUCAAUACGAGGUCCAUCUUCAAGAGGUGGUUUUCCUAGCACAGAAGCGCAGAAGUCAAGUCCAGUGUUGUCUUCUACUAACUCCAGUUUAAUGAAUUUCUCACAUUUCUCAAGACCUGCUUCUCUUGUUAAAGCUAACCUUCAUAAUAUUGGCACAAGGGCUGGUUCAGGAAUUUCAAACAUAGAAACAAUGGGAGGUAAGGAUAAGGGCUCUGAUACAAGCAAUAGCAAUCCUGUUGAGCCCACAUGCGUUGAUACAUUUGGUGGUUUACCAAAGGAUUUGAGCUCCCAGUCCCAGCCUAUCAUGGUGUCAUCCAAGGUUGAUGCUAAACCGUUGAACCAUAAGCCUACUGAGGAACUCCUUCCUGCAAAGCAGCCUGAGGCUUUGGACCAAGAAGAUGACUCUAAAAAUGAUAGAAGUCAUUGUCAAAUCGCUGAAAGUGCAAUUAGAGGAUUGGCAGAUAGUGGAAAAAAUGCAGAGCCCGUAGUUGCUUCUUCUUCUGUUUGCUCAGGCAAUAGUGUGGAGAGAGUUUCAGAAGAACCAACACAGGAUUUGAAGAGAAAAUACCAGGAAAUAGAGGAGUCUGAAGGCCCUAGUGAAGAUGUUGAAGAGGAAUCAGUAGGUGCAAAAAGAGCAGCUCCUGCUCGAGGGAGUACUGGCUCCAAGAGAAGCCGAGCAGCAGAAGUACAUAAUUUGUCUGAAAGGAGGCGAAGAGAUAGGAUCAACGAGAAGAUGCGAGCCCUACAGGAACUCAUACCAAACUGCAACAAGGUGGACAAAGCUUCAAUGCUCGAUGAGGCUAUUGAGUAUUUAAAGACACUUCAGCUUCAGGUACAGAUUAUGUCAAUGGGAGCUGGUUUAUAUAUGCCAUCAAUGAUGUUACCCCCAGGGAUGCCUCACAUGCAUGCUCCCCAUAUGGCUCAAUUCUCACCUAUGGGAGUUGGAAUGGGGAUGGGAAUGGGUUUUGGGAUGGGUAUGCCUGAUAUGAUCGUUGGAUCUUCUGGCUGCUCUAUGAUUCAGAUGCCUCCUAUGCAUGGAGCACAUUUUCCUAGUCCGCCAAUAUCGGGUCCUAGUGCUUUGCAUGGGAUGAGUGGAUCUAAUCUUCCAAUAUUUGGACUUUCUAGUCAAGGACAUCCAAUGCCAUAUCCUUGUGCACCCUUAAUGCCAAUGUCAGGAGGAUCUCUUCUAAAAACUACCAUGGGAAUGAAUGCUGGUGGGGUGGCAGGUCCCAUGAAUAAUUUGGAUUCAGCCCCAGUCUCUGGUUCAAAGGAUUCAAUUCAAAAUGUCAACUCACGAACAAUGCAAAACUGUGGUGCCAAUAUCUCAAUGAAUCAGACGUCUAGACAGGAGGUGCUUGUGGAAAAUUUAAUGAAAAAUCAACAGCCUUUCUUCUGUUAGCAGCCAAUUGUUUUGUUCAUUUUUCAAAGUUCUGUAUAACGGUUGUGUAUAAUUUUCUAUUGGCAAGUAAAAACCAUGUGAGAUCACAUUUGUCUGAAGAAAUCUGAAGUUGGAGAAGCAAUCCUCAUGUAGUAGUAUGAUGCUAAACAUCAAAGGGUCAAGGACGAACCUUAUGUGGAAUUAUGUUGCCUGCUUGUCUUGUUCAUCAGUGUGCCUGACUCUAAGAGAAGUUUCCUUCUUUGUAAUGCCAGUGCCAAGUGACAAAUGAUCGUAUUGAACAGCCUGCUUUGGUGCAAAACAGUGGUCCAUCCUCUGAAGUUACUGAUGGUGGAAGAGCUCUGAAGUCAGCAAAUGCGAAUGACAAUGUGCCUGGCAGAGCUGCUGCUGGUUGUGACUGACAGGUUUUCUGAUCCUUGUCAUUAAAAGCAAAUCAAUCAUCCUUCCCGUAAAGGUCAAGCCUUUCCCUUCUUCAUGGUGAAUCUAUACGAGUAUGCAGAAAAAGGCAGCAGGGCAACAAAUGAAGUUGAAUGUUAUUCAUGAUCAUUUUCAUUCUAGUUUCAGCACCGUGCAGUUAUACUGAUAAUUUGCAAAGAUUUUGGUACGUUGAGGAGCUUUAGCCUUUUCUUGCUUUUGUACAUUUACUUACAUAUCAGAAAUAUAUUUUUUUAGUGUUCUUUUGUAGACCUUUCAUUACAAAUUCUUUGAAUUAAUGAAAAGAUAGACUCUUGGCAAUAUAAUUUGCGCA